AUGCGGGUUGGUCCUGGUGGCCGGGAAGCCACAAUAUUGGUUAAUGCGGUCGAUGAUUUACCUCUCCGCUUCACCAACGGGGUUGAGGUCGACCAGGUCACCGGUCAAGUCUACUUCACUGACAGUUCUAUGAACUAUGACAGGACGCAUCAUGAGAUGGUCACAAGAUCAGGGGAUUCAACAGGGCGUCUCAUGAGGUACGACCCACAUACCGGUGAUGUUGCGGUGCUCCAAACACGCCUGGCGUAUGCAAACAGGGUCGCUAUCAGCACCGACUGUACGCAUCUCAUUGUUGCAUCUACGGGGCCGUGCAAGCUACUAAGGCACUGGAUCAAAGGGGCCAAGGCGGAGGCGGGGACGUCUGAGCCAUUUGUCGAUCUCCCCGGCUACCCCGAUAACGUAAGGCCUGGCAAAAUAGGAGGUUACUGGGUGGCGUUACAUGGCGAGAAGAAUGAAUUGCCCUGUCAUCCCAAUAGUCAUCUGCUCGCUGUGAGGAUCGGAGCUGACGGCAAGAUACUCAAAGAGAUGAGGGGGCCCAAGCGCGUCAAACCGGCAGAAAUCAUGAAAAGAGACAACGGGAAACUUUACAUAGGCUCUAAUGACUUGUCGUACGUCGGCGUAGUUACACGCAAG
rnacentral:rRNA from 1 species